AAACAAACUUUUAUUCAACUUUUAUUCAACAUGGUACACUGAAAAUCUAAAUGAGCCUAUCUUUCCACGGAAGUCUAGCAUGUAUCAAGAAGUGAAAAGCAAAACUGGAAAUAGAUAAAAAUUUAAUUUUCCUUCAUGGCCUCCAACAUAUUCAUAUGAAGCACUGAAAUAUUCCACCCUCAUGGUAAUUUCCAAUGAUUUCUAUGAAAUUCAAUUUUGGAGGAAGAGCUGCAAAAGAGAUACUUCAAUUGAUUUUCGUGUAGUUUAUUUUCUCUUUUGGGUAUAAGCCUUUGUUUUAAUAAAAAAGUUUUUUUUUGUCAGUAGUCUAGUGGCUAGAAUUCACCUUAUAAAGUGAAUAACGGUCAUAGGUAUUGAUUUUGUUUGUUUUAUAUUUAUCGGAAUUGCUAACCGGUGCCCCAGACCCUGGGGCACUGGUUAAGGAUAAGAAAAAGGAAAUUAUAUAGUAGUUAAUGC
rnacentral:lncRNA from 1 species